UGAGGAAUAUUGGUCAAUGGGCGCGAGCCUGAACCAGCCAAGUAGCGUGAAGGAUGACUGCCCUAUGGGUUGUAAACUUCUUUUAUAUUAGAAUAAAGUGCAGUAUGUAUACUGUUUUGUAUGUAUAAUAUGAAUAAGGAUCGGCUAACUCCGUGCCAGCAGCCGCGGUAAUACGGAGGAUCCGAGCGUUAUCCGGAUUUAUUGGGUUUAAAGGGAGCGUAGGUGGACUGGUAAGUCAGUUGUGAAAGUUUGCGGCUCAACCGUAAAAUUGCAGUUGAUACUGUCAGUCUUGAGUACAGUAGAGGUGGGCGGAAUUCGUGGUGUAGCGGUGAAAUGCUUAGAUAUCACGAAGAACUCCGAUUGCGAAGGCAGCUCACUGGAUUGCAACUGACACUGAUGCUCGAAAGUGUGGGUAUCAAACAGG
rnacentral:rRNA from 1 species